rnacentral:lncRNA from 1 species
UUCGAAACUUCACAUUCCGUCAAUUAAUAAUAUUCCUAAGACAGUAGCUAAUUACAAUAUCAAAUGAAAGGCAAAAAGAAUCUAGACAAGCACACAAGGAAAAUGUAUGGCAAAGGUUGUCUAAAAACAUAGCUGCAUGAAUUUCCAGUUUGAGCUUGUGGGGAGUGAACGAGGAUCGUAAAAUAUACCUGCGCUGUAAACAACUUCAGCCCUGAAAUAUACUUGGAGAUUGUAUCCUCUUUGUCUAAUGAUUGCUCUGUUUAGUCAACGAAAUUGAAACUUAAUUAUCAAGCUCGAAACUGAAACUUCUAUGUACACAACACAAAGACAUGUUCUGCAAUUUCACAGCUCUGGUUUUAGAUUACACUUGACUUGCCAUACACUCUCUUCUCAAUAUAUUUCUU